AGAAAGAAAAGGGGGACAAGGAAGAGAAAUGGAAGAAGAAGAGAGAGACACACACACCACGAACAUUAAUCUUAUCAUCAUCUCAAUACACAUCUUCACUCGCCACGCAUCUUCAUCAUUAACAUAAGAAAUGCAACAAACAGUAUUUAGCAUUAUUCUUUUGAUGUGUUUAUUUCUUAUUUACAUGUCCAAUCAUAUACUUCACAUAUGACAUUAAUAUAGAUUGACAUAGAAUUUUCAUAUAUUUACAUGUACACAGUAUUCCAUUUUUUUCAUCAAAUAGACAUGUGAUAAUAAUACACAUCCAAUGUAUAUGUUUUCCCAUAGAAUACAUUCUGUACAUAAAACAGAAUACACUGGACAUAAUAAAAAGUACAUACACAUUAUGUACAAUCCACACUGUACAAAAAGCAUUUUGAAAUUAUUUAUAAAGUUAAAAAGAUUUCAAUCACGAUAUAUAAAUUUAAAGAACAUCACAUAAAUCACUUUAGGCUUUGUAGAACUUUAAACUUAAAUAUAAAUAUUUUAAGGUGAAUAAUACUAUAAAAUUUAGAUGGCAGUUUGUCUAAAAAUUCAAAUAACUGCACUGAUAAUUUUGAUUUUUUUUUUACAAAUUAGCAAAAAUGCUUUUCACGGGAGAAUACAGGAUUAGGUAAGGAAAAUUAUCUGCCUAAAUACUGGGUGUAAAAAUCAAUGUCUGAUACAAGACCUAGAGCCAAGUACUUUAAAAAUGGGAGAUUUGUGGUAAUGAAAAUUAUAAAAAUGUUUGAAAUAAGGGUUGCAAAUAAUGUCAUCUUCAUAAAAAUCUCAAUAUAAAUAGAAAAUUGGGCAGUUUAAAUACACUGUAAUGUUAUCCUCCAAAUCAUGAAUUCAUUCAUAUACAAUUACUAUGAAAUAACAUUAAAACUCACACAUGGGACUAAACUGGGGGAUAUUCUCUACUCAAGCCAUCAAAAUUCAUGGAUUUCAGGUCCUCCCAUUCACUUCUAAUUAGUAAGCCAUGAUCACUAGACCUAAAUAAAUACACCAGUCCUGAAAGAAGACUAGUUAUAUAUCUACAUGUACCAAAAUAAAUAGUCUACUUUCUCUCUCUUGCUUAAGCCACUGUCUAUGUACAUGAUACUGAUGCAAUCAUGUUAGCACCUAAUUUUCCAUGACUCUCACAACAAGUUACUGUACUACAAUAUCAUAGCUACUUUGGCACCAACUGAAAUACUAGCGAACUACUGAAAGGCAAGACAUUCUAUCAAUCAAUCUCCUGAAAAUAAUGUGACAUGCUGAAGCCUGCAGAUAAGACUAGAAAUGCUAGAUUAAAACCAGACUAGUUUCAAACAUAUGAACCAAGUGCUUCUGUAAACAACUUUAGCUUUGUGCCAAGCCCAACUGGUUGUCGACUCCAUUGCUAAACUAGCCUUGUUUACACGUUAAGGACUGCGUUCAAUCGACACUUUUUCAUAUGUAUGUACUAGAAAUAAAGUUUUCAAAGAUGUUUAGCUCAAUUUAAUUUUUGUUCUAAAAUAUGUUUAUCAGAAUAAUGAAAUAAAGAUGUUUUCAAAAAAAUAUCUGCAGAACUUUUUGAAUCAUACUAUUUCACUCCAAAGUUUGACCUUUACUUCCGGGUCAAACUAUAUGUGGUGGGUGGGCUUAAAAACUGGAAAUCUGCAUCUUCAAUCGCUUUCCCAAAAUGACUGUUUUGUGCUUGCAUUUCUAUCUGUGAUUCUAGCCUAUGUUAAUUACUACCAUGUCCCAUUACCUUUUGGCAGAAAAUAAUAUUCAUACUUCACCACUUAAAGUUGUCUUCAUUUACUUGUUACAGAGAGCAGGGGUGUUAAAUAUGGAUAACAGUAUAUAAUUGCUCAGUAUUAGAACUUGCAAAAAAGAACGGGUAGUUGUUUACACAAAUACAUUGGCUUGUUCUUGAAAGGCAUUUUUAACACCGUUAUUCCUUUAAACAAAAUACCCAGAUUCCAUAAGUAAAUAUGAAAUACUGACCAACGGAUAUACAAAAUAUGUGACAUAGUACCGAGGAAAAGUAUAAUUCAGCCUAUUCGAUAUGAAAGUAAACAGAUAUUACACUUAUAAAAUUUGGUCACAUUGAAUCAAUGGGGACUGGGUACUAGACUAACCCUACAGACAAUGAACAAGAAUACCCUGCAUAAACUAACUGAAAUAUACACCACAAAUUUCAGAAUAAAAGAAAAUAUGUUGCUAGAAAACAUUAAAGUGGUCUAGACUAUCAACUGGUCUAAUAAUACAAAACUAAAAAAAUAUUAAAUGGGGGAAAGAGUGAAAUAAAAAAAAGUACUAGCAAAAUUACAACUUGGGCAAGAACAAAACAAACUUAUGUAAAAAACCUAAAUUCUUCAACCAUUAAAAUAAGGUUGUUUCCAAACAACCAACUAGAACUGGUUAUCUCCAGGUAACAU
rnacentral:lncRNA from 1 species